rnacentral:rRNA from 1 species
AACGCGAAGAACCUUACCUGGGCUCGAACGGCUUCUUAACGGGGGUGGAAACACCCUUAUCCCGCAAGGGAGUGGAGUCGAGGUGCUGCAUGGCUGUCGUCAGCUCGUGUCGUGAGAUGUUGGGUUAAGUCCCGCAACGAGCGCAACCCUCGUCCUGUGUUGCCAUGCCGAAAGGCGGAACUCGCAGGAGACCGCCAGCGAUAAGCUGGAGGAAGGUGGGGAUGACGUCAAGUCCUCAUGGCCUUUAUGUCCAGGGCUACACACGUGCUACAAUGGCCGGUACAAAGCGUUCCUAAGCCGCGAGGUGGAGGCAAUCGCAGAAAGCCGGUCUCAGUUCGGAUUGCAGGCUGCAACUCGCCUGCAUGAAGCUGGAAUCGCUAGUAAUGGCGGAUCAGCAUGCCGCCGUGAAUACGUUCCCGGGCCUUGUACACACCGAGACGAC